rnacentral:rRNA from 1 species
UUCUGUGGGGGAUAACCCGGGGAAACUCGGGCUAAUACCGCAUACGCCUUACAGGGAAAGCGGGGGACCUUCGGGCCUCGUGCAGAAAGAUGAGCCUGCGUCCUAUCAGGUAGUUGGUGAGGUAAUGGCUCACCAAGCCGACGACGGGUAGCUGGUCUGAGAGGACGACCAGCCACACUGGGACUGAGACACGGCCCAGACUCCUACGGGAGGCAGCAGUGGGGAAUAUUGGACAAUGGGGGCAACCCUGAUCCAGCAAUGCCGCGUGUGUGAAGAAGGCCUUCGGGUUGUAAAGCACUUUUAGCAGGAAAGAAAAGUCGUGCGCUAAUACCGCAUGAUUUUGACGUUACUUGCAGAAAAAGCACCGGCUAACUCCGUGCCAGCAGCCGCGGUAAUACGGAAGGUGCAAGCGUUAAUCGGAAUUACUGGGCGUAAAGCGCGCGUAGGCGGCUUGUCAAGUCGGAUGUGAAAUCCCCGAGCUCAACUUGGGAACUGCAUUCGAUACUGGCUCGCUAGAGUGUGGUAGAGGGAAGUGGAAUUCCAGGUGUAGCGGUGAAAUGCGUANAUAUCUGGGGGAACAUCAGUGGCGAAGGCGGCUUCCU